GAAUUGACGGGGACCCGCACAAGUGGUGGAGCAUGUUGUUUAAUUCGACGAUACACGUAGAACCUUACCUAGACUUGACAUCCUUGGCGAAGUUAUAGAAAUAUAAUGGAGGUUAACCGAGAGACAGGUGGUGCAUGGUUGUCGUCAGCUCGUGUCGUGAGAUGUUGGGUUAAGUCCCGCAACGAGCGCAACCCUUAUCGUUAGUUAUUUUGUCUAACGAGACUGCCAACGCAAGUUGGAGGAAGGUGGGGAUGACGUCAAAUCAUCAUGCCCCUUAUGUCUAGGGCCACAAACGUGCUACAAUGGUCGGUACAAACAGUCGCUAAUUCGUAAGAUAGAGCUAAUCUGUAAAGCCGAUCUCAGUUCGGAUAGAGGGCUGAAAUUCGCCCUCUUGAAGUUGGAAUCACUAGUAAUCGCGAAUCAGCCAUGUCGCGGUGAAUACGUUCUCGGGU
rnacentral:rRNA from 1 species